GGAUGUAUGAUGUUGGAAUAGCUUCUUCUAUAAGAAUUGUGUGUAUGGAAAACAACACAAGGUAAAGUUUAGUCUUGGUAUUCACUCCAUUAAGGGGUCCUCUGGUUGCUACUCAUGGUGAGUCCACAUAUUUGACAUUUUUGCAAGAAUGAAGGUAUAGUAAAGCACCACAAUGUAUGAUAUACACAACUACAAAAUGAGAUUGCAAAACACCAAUGAAGUGUGCUCGUUGCAUGCUUGCUCAAAUUGGGUUGGCAAAGGUUUUUUAGGCUAAGGAAAUCAAUACAACUUGUUACUUGUUUAAUUGGUCUCUAUCAACUACCAUUGAUUCAAAGAUUCUUCAAGAUAUUUGGUCAGAAACGUCUAUUAAUCAUUCUGAUUUAAGAAUAUUUAGAUGUCCUGUGUACUUGUAAGCUUAAGCCAAAAGCAAUUAAAUGCAUGUUCCUAAGCUAUGCAAUUGGUAUGAAAGGUUAUAGAUUGUGGUAUGUUGACUCUAAAAAAUAAUCAGGUUUUUAUUAGCAAAGAUGUUACUUUUAAUGAGUCUGCAAUGUUAAACUAGGAGUCUGUAGUUGAUAAUGCAAGUAAAGGUCAUAGUGCUAAUGGAAAUGUGGAGAUUGAGAAAGCUUCAAAAGAGGUGGAGAAAGUCUCCCCUAAUCAGUCCAAAAACGGAAUAAAAGAUGAAGAUUAUGUAGGGGCAAUGAAAACAAGAGCUACCUUACAAUAUAGUUCUAAACCAUGAAAGGAGGCAAAACAUUACGCCACUUGCAAGGUGCACAAAUAUUAUUACUUACACUUUAACUUUAGAAGAUCAUUCUCUAUCUUAUAAAUAUGUAGAUAAAGGCAAAAAAAAUGUAUGGAGCAGCUUGGAGCUAUGAAU
rnacentral:misc_RNA from 1 species